rnacentral:rRNA from 1 species
ACAUUAAAUUAAGGGCACAUGGUGGAUGCCUUGAUACCAAAAGGGGAUGAAGGACGUGGCGUGUCUGCGAUAAGCCUCGGGGAGGUGGCGAGCAACCUACGAUCCGGGGAUUUCCGAAUGGGGAAACCCAACCUGGCAAACCCAGGUUAUCCCGGCCUUGCGUCGGGAUCCAUACCCGCUGAAGUGAAACAUCUCAGUAAGCGGAGGAAAAGAAAUCAAAGAGAUUCCGUAAGUAGUGGCGAACGAAAGCGGAACAGCCUAAACCGGGAGAGUUUACUCUCCCGGGGUUGUGGGAUACUUAAAUAUGGUAUCGUGAAGAGAAGCUAAUCAGUUUGGAAAACUGAACCAGAGAGGGUGAUAGUCCCGUGAGUGUAAUCGAAUCGUAACCUAGAGUUUCCCGAGUAAUGCGGGACACGUGAAACCCUGCAUGAAUCCAGGCGGACCACCGUCUAAGGCUAAAUACUAACUGGAGACCGAUAGUGAACAAGUACCGUGAGGGAAAGGUGAAAAGGACCCCUGCUAGGGGAGUUUAAAGUUCCUGAAACCCCGUGCCUACAAUGUGUGGGAGCACUUUUUAAGUGUGACCGCGUGCCUUUUGCAUAAUGAGUCUGCGAGUUAUUGUCAGUGGCAAGCCUAAGCACUAUUGGUGCGCAGGCGAAGCGAAAGCGAGUGUGAAUAGCGCGUCCAGUCGCUGGCGAUAGACCCGAAGCGGAGGUGAUCUAACCAUGGGCAGGUUGAAGCUGAGGUAAAACGCAGUGAAGGACCGAACCGUUGUACGUUGAAAAGGGCUCGGAUGACCUGUGGUUAGGAGUGAAAGGCUAAUCAAACCCCGUGAUAGCUGGUUCUCUUCGAAAUAGCUUUAGGGCUAGCGUCGGGGAAGUACUCCGAGGAGGUAGAGCACUGAUUGGCUUAGGGUCCCUAACAGGAUACCAAAACCAGUUAAACUCCGAAUGCCUCGGAUCCCAUUAUCCCGGCAGUCAGUCGGCGAGUGAUAAGAUCCGUCGUCGAGAGGGAAACAACCCAGACCAUCGGCUAAGGUGCCAAAAUACCGCUCAGUGGUAAGGAUGUGACGUUACAUAGACAGUGAGGAUGUUGGCUUAGAAGCAGCCACCAUUUAAACAGUGCGUAACAGCUGACUCAUCGAGUGACGUUGCGCCGAAAAUGAUUGGCGAUCAAGCGGUAUACCGAAGCCAUGGAUGUCUUUUUAAGACAUGGUAGAAGAGCGUAGUCAGGCCACAGAAGCUUCUCUGUAAAGAGGGGUGGAGGGCUGACUAGUGAGAAUGCAGACAUGAGUAGCGAUAAACAAAGUGAGAAUCUUUGUCUCCGUAAACCCAAGGUUUCCUGGGCCAGGCUCGUCCUCCCAGGGUUAGUCGGGACCUAAGGCGAGGCCGAAAGGCGUAGUCGAUGGACAGCAGGUUAAUAUUCCUGCCCCAUCAUGCAAGGUUGAUCCAGCGGUGCGGAUCUUGAAGUUCAGCGGGACAGUGAAGCGUCCAGGCCCUUGAGGCCGUUGCUGGGUAGAUAGGUUCCAAGAAAAGCCGUCUGGUGACGAACAUGAUGCCCGUACUAAAACUGACACAGGUAGGUGUGGCGAAUAGCCUCAGGCGCUCGAGAAAACGGUUGUGAAGGAACUAGGCAAAUUGACCCUGUAAGUUCGCGAUAAAGGGGCCCUAUCCAUUUAUGGAAGGGCGCAGAGAAAAGGCUCUGGCGACUGUUUAUCAAAAACACAGCACUGUGCUAACACGCAAGUGGACGUAUACAGUGUGACUCCUGCUCGGUGCCGGAAUGUUAAGGAAGCUGGUUAGUCCUUUAGUGGGCAAAGCUAGUGACCGAAGCACCGGUAAACGGCGGCCGUAACUAUAACGGUCCUAAGGUAGCGAAAUUCCUUGUCGGGUAAGUUCCGACGUGCAUGAAUGGAGUAACGACUGGAGCACUGUCUCCACAACCAACUCGGUGAAAUAGUAGUGGCGGUGAAGAUGCCGCCUACCCGCAGCAAGACGGAAAGACCCCGUGGACCUUUACUGCAGGCAUAUAUUGGUCACGGACCUGUAUCG